rnacentral:rRNA from 1 species
GUCUACAGCCCGUGCCACCCUGAACAAGCCUGAUCCCAUCUGAUCUUGGAAGCUAAGCAGGUUCGGGCCUGGUUAGUACUUGGAUGGGAGACCACCUAGGAAGACCAGGUACUGUAGGCA